GACGAACGCUGGCGGCGUGCAUAAUACAUGCAAGUAGGACGCAGUUGCGAACGGGGUAGUAACGCGUAGGUAAAUGCCUAUUAGAGGGGGGUAACUAUUGGAAACGAUAGCUAAUACCGCAUACUAGUAGAUGGACCUGCGUGGUAUUAGCUAGUAGGUAGGGUAAUGGCCUCCCUAGGCGACGAGACAUAGCCGACCUGGGAGGGGGAUCGGCCAACCUGGGACUUGGACACGGCCCAGACUCCUACGGGAGGCAGCAGUAGGGAAUCUUCGGCAAUGGGGGGCACCCUGACCGAGCAACGCCGCGUGAGUGAAGAAGGUUUUCGGAUCGUAAAGCUCUGUUGUUAAGGAAGCGGUACUUAACCAGAAAGGGACGGCUAACUACGUGCCAGCAGCCGCGGUAAUAC
rnacentral:rRNA from 1 species